UACAGAGGUCUCAAGCGUUUGUUCGGAUUCAUUGGGCGUAAAGGGUGCGUAGGCGGCGCGGUAAGUCGGGUGUGAAAUCUUGGAGCUUAACUCCGAAACUGCAUUCGAUACUGCCGUGCUUGAGGACUGGAGAGGAGACUGGAAUUUACGGUGUAGCGGUGAAAUGCGUAGAUAUCGUAAGGAAGACCAGUGGCGAAGGCGGGUCUCUGGACAGUUCCUGACACUGAGACACGAAGGCCCAGGGGGAGCAAAACGGGG
rnacentral:rRNA from 1 species